CGUUGUUCGGAAUUACUGGGCGUAAAGGGUUCUUAGGUGGCCAACUAAGUCAGACGUGAAAUCCCUCAGCUUAACUGGGGAACUGCGUCUGAUACUGAUUGGCUUGAGUGCAGGAGAGGAACGCGGAAUUCCCGGUGUAGCGGUGAAAUGCGCAGAUAUCGGGAAGAACACCCGUGGCGAAGGCGGCGCGCUGGGACGGUACUGACGCUGAGACGCGAAAGCGUGGGGAGCGAACAGG
rnacentral:rRNA from 1 species